GCAGAAUCCAAUCUGCAAUGCAGGGUGAGGCGCUCUGCUGAGGACUCGCCGGGGAGCUGGGGCCAGCCCCAACCACUGCUCUUCUCUGGAGCAAAGCAGAGCCCUUUGGGUAUGGCCAGAGCAGCCUCCCUCCGCGGCGGUCACCUGACUUCAAACCACCCGUCUCUGUAGGGCCCAAUGACCAGAUACCAUUAACUACUGGGUGUCUCUGGAGCACCCCCAGCCCCUGAGGACGGCCACACCAUGGGCAGGAGGCCCUGGACUUUGACACUGCCUUGUUUCCUGGAAAUGAUACACUCCCCCUGAAGUGGCCGCUCUGAGGCUUACCCUGGGGGACUGGCUUGUGGGCACAGAGCCCAAGCACUGAAACAAUCUCGUCAGGAAAAAAGACGCUGAGAUUAUGGGGUGGGAGCGACUUCUGAUCUUUCCUGAGGAAGGCUUGUUUGUGUAAAAUUGCCACUUCUCGUGAUACUGGCUCCUCUAGGUUCAGCUCCCGUGCCCUGUUUUUGCAACUCAGAGCUCUGAAGUGCACUGUGAUUUAUGGCUACUGUCCUCAAAGCCACCUGAAAACAAGAAGCCCCUCUUCACCUGGACACACAGCUGAUACAAUAACCGCUAAUAACAGCUCUUAUUUCGUGUGCAUCAAUGAUCUUGCAGCUGGACGUGAUGGAAGUGGUUUUAAAUCCAAGCCUGUCUGACCCAAGAGGCGAUUUCACCCUUUAUGCUAUAAUGCUACCAGUUACGUAACUGCCUCCCUGCCAAGAGGCCAGCCUUGGCUGCUCCCCGUGGAAACAUCUAGGGAGACAGCGACCUCCAGGAGACAGCGACCUCCGCGACGCAGCACAGACUGAGCUGGGAAGCAUGGCUGCUGAUGAGUGGAGCAGGCCCACGUCCCGGGAUCCAAACCCACAAACCCUGGCCACAGAAGCGGAGCACGCAGAUGUUUAACUACUUGGCCACAGGGCCAGCCCCCACCAUUCUACUUUUUGUCUCCAUGAACUGACUGCUCUUCCUGCCUCAUAUCAGUGGGAUCAUACUGUAUUUGUCCACUGUGACUGGUCAUUUCACUCAGCAUAAUGUCCUCAAGGUUCAUCCAUGGUGAGACACGUAGCAGAUUUUCCUUCUUUUUUAAUGCUGAAAAAUAUUCCACUGUAUGGAUGUACCACAUUCUGUUUAUUCAUUCAUGUCAGUGGACAUUUGGGUUGUUUUCAAAUGUUCUUUUUUAAAAUGCU
rnacentral:lncRNA from 1 species